UACGGAGGGUGCAAGCGUUAAUCGGAAUUACUGGGCGUAAAGCGUGCGCAGGCGGGUUGUUAAGUCUGUUGUGAAAUCCCCGAGCUCAACUUGGGAAUUGCAAUGGAUACUGGCAGGCUGGAGUAUGGUAGAGGAAGGUGGAAUUCCCGGUGUAGCAGUGAAAUGUGUUGAGAUCGGGAGGAACGCCGGUGGCGAAAGCGACAGACUGGGGCUUGGCCGACGCUCAUGCACGAAAGCCAGGGGAGCGAACGGG
rnacentral:rRNA from 1 species